GUUUGAUCCUGGCUCAGGAUGAACGCUAGCGGCAGGCUUAACACAUGCAAGUCGAGGGGUAUAGGUUUUCGGACCUAGAGACCGGCGCACGGGUGCGUAACGCGUAUGCAAUCUACCUUUUGCAGAGGGAUAGCCCAGAGAAAUUUGGAUUAAUACCUCAUAGUAUAUAUGAAUGGCAUCAUUUAUAUAUUAAAGUCACAACGGCAAAAGAUGAGCAUGCGUCCCAUUAGCUAGUUGGUAUGGUAACGGCAUACCAAGGCGACGAUGGGUAGGGGUCCUGAGAGGGAGAUCCCCCACACUGGUACUGAGACACGGACCAGACUCCUACGGGAGGCAGCAGUGAGGAAUAUUGGACAAUGGGCGCAAGCCUGAUCCAGCCAUGCCGCGUGCAGGAUGACGGCCCUAUGGAUUGUAAACUGCUUUUGCACAGGAAGAAACAUCCCGACGUGUCGGGACUUGACGGUACUGUGAGAAUAAGGAUCGGCUAACUCCGUGCCAGCAGCCGCGGUAAUACGGAGGAUCCAAGCGUUAUCCGGAAUCAUUGGGUUUAAAGGGUCCGUAGGCGGUCUUAUAAGUCAGUGGUGAAAUCUCCCCGCUCAACGGGGAAACGGCCAUUGAUACUGUAGGACUUGAAUUAUUAGGAAGUAACUAGAAUAUGUAGUGUAGCGGUGAAAUGCUUAGAGAUUACAUGGAAUACCAAUUGCGAAGGCAGGUUACUACUAAUGGAUUGACGCUGAUGGACGAAAGCGUGGGUAGCGAACAGGAUUAGAUACCCUGGUAGUCCACGCCGUAAACGAUGGAUACUAGCUGUUGGGAGCGAUCUCAGUGGCUAAGCGAAAGUGAUAAGUACCCCACCUGGGGAGUACGUUCGCAAGAAUGAAACUCAAAGGAAUUGACGG
rnacentral:rRNA from 1 species